AAGUCGUAACAAGGUUUCCGUAGGUGAACCUGCGGAAGGAUCAUUAAAUUCAGUAGCUUGCUACUGUUAGGGGGGGUCUAUUAGUCUGUAUAGUAUCACUACUGAUGAGCAGCACGACCCUCUGUCUAUACCCUUGUCUUUUGCGCACUCAUGUUUCCUCGGCGGCUUUAUACCCGCCGGCUGGAUCAAUCUAUAACCUUUUUAAUUUUCAAUCAGCGUCUGAAAAACCUAAUAAUUACAACUUUCAACAACGGAUCUCUUGGUUCUG
rnacentral:misc_RNA from 1 species